GUUCCUAUGGUCUAGUGGUUAUGACGCUUCGUUGUGGUUGCAAAUUGCAAAUUGCACAUUACAUCCGAAGCAGCCCGUGUUCGAUUCACGGUGGGGACA